rnacentral:rRNA from 1 species
AUGAUCGUACUAAAACUUGAUUUUCGGAAGGCUUUUGACAGUGUCAGCUGGGAGGCUCUACGGCAGGUUUUUACAGCAAGAGGAUUCGGAAGUCGUUGGAAUCAUUGGCUUUCCCAUAUCUUCACCUCCAGCUCCUCCCAAAUCCUACUUAAUGGACAGCUUGGAGAGAAGAUCUACUCCAAGUGUGGCCUCGGGCAAGGCGAUGCAAUAUCGCCA